rnacentral:rRNA from 1 species
AUUGAACGCUGGCGGCAUGCCUUACACAUGCAAGUCGAACGGUAACGGGCCUUCGGGUGCCGACGAGUGGCGAACGGGGGAGUAAUACAUCGGAACGUGCCCGAUCGUGGGGGAUAACGAGGCGAAAGCUUUGCUAAUACCGCAUACGAUCUACGGAUGAAAGCAGGGGACCGCAAGGGCUUGGGCGGACGGAGCGGCCGAUGGCAGAUUAGGUAGUUGGUGGGAUAAAAGCUUACCAAGCCGACGAUCUGUAGCUGGUCUGAGAGGAUGAUCAGCCACACUGGGACUGAGACACGGCCCAGACUCCUACGGGAGGCAGCAGUGGGGAAUUUUGGACAAUGGGCGCAAGCCUGAUCCAGCCAUGCCGCGUGCAGGAUGAAGGCCUUCGGGUUGUAAACUGCUUUUGUACGGAACGAAAAGCCUUCUUUUAAUACAGGAGGGUCAUGACGGUACCGUAAGAAUAAGCACCGGCUAACUACGUG